rnacentral:lncRNA from 1 species
GCAUGGGGCGCCCCACGGCUCCGACCCACGGCGCGGUCAGCCCCACGGCGCGGUCAGCCCCACGGCGCGGGCAUGGUGGGGGGGGGCCUGGGCGAGAGGGGGCCCUCAGCACCCGCUGGCUGCCCCACAGCAUCCCAGUGCCACCCCAUAGCAUCCCAGUGGUGCUCUCAGUGCUCCCAGUGCUCCCAGUGCCACCUCAUAGCAUCCCAGUGCUCUCGUGCUGCCCUAUAGCAUCUCAGUGGUGCUCCCAGUGCUCCCAGUGCUGCCCCAUAGCAUCCCAGUGCUCCCAGUGCUGUCCCAUAGCAUCCCAGCACGACUAGUGCUGUCUCCCAGUGCUCUCCCAGUGCUGCCCCACAGCACCCCAGUGUUCCCAGUGCCGUCCCAUAGCAUCCCAGUGCCAUCCUCCGGAGCUCCCAGUGCUGCCCCCCAGUGCUCCCAGUGCCUCCCUGCAGCUCCCUCUUGAGCCUCCACCCCCAGUCCCUGCGCCCAGUAACCCCAGUACGCCCAGUACCCCCAGUCCCGUGCUCCCAGUCCCAGCCCUCCGUGCUCCCCCAGUCCCUGCUCCCAGUAACCCCGUCCCUCACCCCCCGUGCUCCCAGUACCUCCCAGUGCCUGCUUCCAGUC